rnacentral:rRNA from 1 species
UACGAAGGGGGCUAGCGUUGCUCGGAAUCACUGGGCGUAAAGGGUGCGUAGGCGGGUCUUUAAGUCAGGGGUGAAAUCCUGGAGCUCAACUCCAGAACUGCCUUUGAUACUGAAGAUCUUGAGUUCGGGAGAGGUGAGUGGAACUGCGAGUGUAGAGGUGAAAUUCGUAGAUAUUCGCAAGAACACCCGUGGCGAAGGCGGCCGACUGGGCCGGCCCUGACGCUGAGGCGCGAAGGCGUGGGGAGCGAACGGG